rnacentral:rRNA from 1 species
AUUGAACGCUGGCGGCAGGCCUAACACAUGCAAGUCGAGCGGCAGCGGGUCCUUCGGGAUGCCGGCGAGCGGCGGACGGGUGAGUAAUGCCUAGGAAUCUGCCUGGUAGUGGGGGAUAACUCGGGGAAACUCGAGCUAAUACCGCAUACGUCCUACGGGAGAAAGCGGGGGAUCUUCGGACCUCGCGCUACCAGAUGAGCCUAGGUCGGAUUAGCUAGUUGGUGAGGUAAAGGCUCACCAAGGCGACGAUCCGUAGCUGGUCUGAGAGGAUGAUCAGCCACACUGGAACUGAGACACGGUCCAGACUCCUACGGGAGGCAGCAGUGGGGAAUAUUGGACAAUGGGCGAAAGCCUGAUCCAGCCAUGCCGCGUGUGUGAAGAAGGUCUUCGGAUUGUAAAGCACUUUAAGUUGGGAGGAAGGGCAGUAAGCUAAUACCUUGCUGUUUUGACGUUACCGACAGAAUAAGCACCGGCUAACUUCGUG